AGCACUGGAUUAACCAGUGGUUUAUUAGUGGAAUGGUGACAUAGACACCCUUCUAAAAGUGUAGUUCGCUGCUCAGUUCGGAUUAGGAGUCAGGUUCUGAGAUCACUUCGAGCUUUUUAAGUCCUCGGCAAUUUUGGCCGAUAAAGGUAAAAUGAGGACUGCGGCAACUGCAGCAAGUCAGGAUGAAGGCCAGAAGUCACUGUCCAUCCACCCUUAGGAGUAAACUGGCAAUGUUGCUUAGACUUCUCAUUUGAGAGCUUGCCGAAGAUUCAUGGGAAAAAGGAAUGCAAUCUAACACCUGUGCUUCAUUCAACUGUAUUGGAGGUUAUGAGAGACUUCAACAUGUGGUCACCGUGUGUGAAGAAUGGCAAAGGAU